rnacentral:lncRNA from 1 species
GAGCGUGUACGUCAGCCGCGCGCCAUUUGGCCUAAAAUUGUACUUUUCAAACCACUGUUUCUCAGUAACUACUUAUCCUAUAACUAUGUUAAUUUUUAAUAACGCAAGGUAAUUUCACUGUCUAUAUAGUUAAUUGAACAAAAAAUUCGAUUUGUGUAGUUUAAAUACUUAAAUCCCCCGUAACGUAAUAUAUGUUUUAUAAAAUUCCCGUUCAGCGUCUAUUUCGAAGCUCAAAUUGAUGUGAAAACAGUGACAAAUCUUAUCAUAUAUAUUUUUUUAAUCAUGGACAAAACCCCCCUGAAUAUAGUUAAUUGAAAACAUUUUUUAAUUCAGGUCCCUAUCUUUGAGAAAAAAAUAUUUUAACAAUGUCAAAUAUUGUGAAUUUCAAAUGCGUUUUUCACCUGCCUGUCUUACUUAAUUUAAUAUAUCAAUUAUUUAUUAUAUUAAUAUAACUCUUUCUUUAAAAUAUAAACUUUAUUUCAUAAUUUAAUCUUUCGUUAUUAUUUUUUUAUAAAUUAUUUAAAACCUACUAUAAAACGCUGCACGCGAGUCAACUCAAACCAGACCGCCGCGCGGCUUCACAGGGAGAGGACGUGUCGCUCCGUAGCAUCGCGUAGGGUGAAUGACCUUUGCCGUGGAUACCGAGAAUAGUGGAUAUUUUGAGCGCGACCGAUACAUCUUGAUACGUUGACGUAAUGGGAAAUAAAACCCAGUACUAUAAGGGAAACAAACGAAAACACAAAAAUUUAUCAAGUAUGGAAAAAGCAAGGGCUAAAAGAAUGUUUUAUUGGGUGCAUCUGAAGAAAGUUUUGAUAUAUCAGGUUUGGUUAUCGAAGCAGCAAAUCCAGUCCCACUAAAAACCAUUUUUAGAGGCCGUAGAAUUAUUGAUUUCCAGUAUUUUUUUGACCAAAUUAAAAUAAUUAAUAAUCAUAACAGAGCAAUGGGCUGUAACAUAGAUAAUAUGGAAGUCUUGAAGGAGCACAAGUUGGGUUUGGAAUCGACAUUUGUCAUGAAAUGCAACAUGUGCAAUUUAGAACUCCAACUGUUCAGCUCAGAUACUUCAAAUUGUAACAUGAGAGUAAAUCAUGGUGCUGUGACCGGAGCAAUGAUGAUUGGGUGUGGAAGAUCUAAUUUAAAUGAAUUAUUAGCUUCCGUAGAUCUACCUAUACUGGAACAAAAAGUGUAUGCUAAUUGUCAUGAUGAAGUAGCAACAUGGUGGAAAGCUGCAGCUGAAGAAAGUAUGCAAGUGGCUGCGAAGGAAGAAGCUGAUGAAGCUAUUGCAUGUGGUGAGGUCAAAGACGGUAUUCCCAUUAUUACUGUUGUUGCGGACUGCUGUUGGUCAAAAAGAUCCUACAAAACCAACUACUCAGCUCCGUCGGGCGUCGCUGCUAUUAUUGGGUACAGAACAGGGAAAGUUGUUUACAUGGACGUAAAAAAUAAAUAUUGUGUCGUUUGUUCCCGGGCAGCGGUCAAAGGUGUGCCCGUUAUAAAACACGACUGUUACAAAAAUCAUUCUGGAUCUUCGACCAGCAUGGAACAGAGUGUGAUUGUCGAAGGGUUUAAAACUUCUGUUGCGAGGCAAAAUGUUAUCUACGGUACACUGAUUGCAGACGGCGACGCGAGCACUUUUAAAAAAGUUCUCGAAAGCAGGCCAUAUCCGAACUAUCAAGUGAACAAGAUCGAGUGCACCAACCAUCUUCUCCGGAAUUACUGUGGAAAAAUCUUCAUGCUGAGCAAAGAUACCUCAAUCCCUCUACAUGAACGUAAAUUGCUCACCAACGAUCGGCAAAAAAGGCUUCGCACGGCAGUCAAAUGCGCAAUACGAUUU